CUUUUGUCGGAAGGAGCAGGCCGGAAGGGCGCCCCCGCCGCCGGCCGGCGCGACGUCCCGUCCGCCCUCCCCGGCCUCCCGCCGCGCUCCCCUUUCCGCGGGGGGGAGAGAGCGGCGGCGGGGCGGGGGGGAGGCGGCCGGGCGACCGCCGCCGGCCCGGGGACCGUCCCGUCCCCCGGCCUCUCCCGCAGGAAGGGGGCCGAAGGCCCCUUCGGCCCCCGCACCCCCCCUCCCU
rnacentral:rRNA from 1 species